GCCGGCAUAGCUCAGCGGUAGAGCAGCGGUUUUGUAAACCGAAGGUCGGGAGUUCAAUCCUCUCUGCCGGCA
rfam:Pseudorhodoplanes sinuspersici strain RIPI110, complete genome.